rnacentral:lncRNA from 1 species
CCAAAAUUUACAUUUUCCCAUUUGCCCUCUGGUUCACAGUGGAUAUAAAUCCACAUAAUGCAGCCAUAGAGCCCCCUGCUCUGCCUGUCUACUGGCCGCGCACCCGGAUCAAGGCUGGGGGAGGAAAGCCUUGGCCCUGGAGGCACUAGACGUACCUGAUUUGGAAGCAAAGCAUCGUGAUGUCCUAGCCAAGACCAGACACUGAAGCAGGAGAGGACAUUCCCUUAGAUGGAGAAGAAGUGAGUGUAUUGAGACACUCUGGAGAUAACCUGGAUCAAUCACUUCAUUUUAGAGAUAAGGACCUGAAAGGAAAAGGAAACCUGCCCCAGGUCGCACAGCUGGUUCCCACCAAGUCUCCCGACUCCUGCUCCUCUCCUGAAACAUGAGCCUUUACACGCAGCUUCCAGAAGGGAGGGUAUCAUUCUUGGCAAGGCUUGAAACUAAAGCAGUUGGUAUCUAUAGCCAAGGUAUGCUUGGUCGUAUCUGGGCAGCUGACUGACUUCUGGACUCAGCCCCCUCCCCGACUACUUAACUGCACAUCCGUGUAUUAAAAAAAGUACCAUAUUUAUCAUCAUAUUCAUGCAUAUCCUAAGUAUUUCAUACAUGUAAAACUGUGCUACUGUAUUCGCCACCCCCUCUAUCUUGUGUUUUCUUAUAUUUUUGUGAACCCAUUAAUUGCUGUUUUUUGUUCGUUUUGUUUUUACAUUUCAACAUUUAUUUUAGAUUCAGUGCGUAGAUGCACAGAUUUGUUACCUUGGAAUAUUGUGUGAUGCUGCAGUUUGGAGUAUGGAUCCCGUCACCCUGGUAGUGAGCACAGUACCCGUGAGGUAGUUUUGUAACCCACUUCCCUCUCCCUUCACCCUCUGAUGGUCCCAUCUAUCGUUCCCACAGUUAUGUCCAUGUAUACUCAAUGCUUAACUCCCACUUAUAAGUGAGAACAUGUGGUGUUCGGUUUUCUGUUCCUGCAUUAAUUUGCUUAGGAUUAUGGCCCUAGCUGCAUCCAUGUUGCUGCAAAGGACAUGAUUUCAUUCCUUCCAUUUCUUUAAAGGGGAUGGCUUAGGGUUCUGAGGGGCAUCCUCAUUACAAAUCCAGCCUCCUUGACUCUGGAGCCUCCCUUGACUCUUGCAACAAGUCUGGUUGGACAAGUCUUAAUGCUCUAUCCCUUUGAUGUCUGUGAUACUCCACUGUCCCCUUUUCACAGAAAGUGGUCUCUCUGACCACUCUUCCCCUGGGGUUGCUCCUCCCUCCUAACCUGGAUAUGGGCAGAGAAUCCCAUGGCCUCAGCAGUAAUCCUUAGGUAGAAGACCCCUCUACUUUAGCUCAAGCCCCGCCCUCUCUUCUUUGCUCUAAACUGUAUUUCUACAUUCAUGCCCCUUCACCAGCCCCUCCUCAAACCCAACAGUGCAGAUGAACAGGGGCCUCCCCACCCCGACAGUCCUUCCUUAACUGCCCAUCUUCACCCUGCCUGACCUAGAAACCUUCCACUCACCAUCACUCCUUUCUCUACCCUGACCCCCAGCUCCAAGUUCCUCCUGUAGGUCCUACACUUGCCAUGCUUCUCAGUGUAUCCCAUUCUCUCUGUUCUUAUACUGCCAUAAUCUUAUCUCUGGCAGCACAGCCAUAAUCUCCCAGCAUCCAGACAUUUUCCCCCUCAACUCAUUCUGCAACCUCUUCUCAGAGUUGUCUUCCUAAAGCCUGGAUAUGAUCUUGCACCUCUAUGGCUCAGUAACCAUUGAUGGCACCAUGUUGGUUAUCAAAGUCAUUCCAAAUUCCUGAGCCUGGCAUUGCAGAUGCUUACAUGUUCUCAUCCCAUUCUUGUAAGUUUCCAGAACACUCACCACGUGCCAUGCUGGGUACUGUGCUAGAUGCUUUUGCAUUAUGACAUGUGCGCUAAGCACUGCAACUUUGAAGUCAUCAGUGGAAAUGGUGACAGAUAUAGGUGUCCUCUAAUAUUUUCAACCUUCAGCAAAAUGAACUCAGAGCUGAGUGAUGUUUUCUAAGUUCCAUAUUUAAAAGAAACAUUCAAUGAUGAGGAAACAUCAAUUGAUUAUGGGAAUUAUUAAUAACCAACAUUUUUGAGCACUUACUGUGUACCAGUCAGUGGAUUAAGCAUUUACAUACAUUGGUUUAUUUAAAUGUCACAAGAAACUCAUAAAUCAUUAUUAUGGCUCAUUUAUAAAAGACAAAACUGAAGAUUGAAGAGGUUAAGUGACUUGCCUGAUAUCAGAGACCAGGAAGCAGUGAAGCUCACCAGGAACCCAGGUGUGUCUGAUUUCCAGGUCCUUGCACUUCAUCUUUCUACUCUGCUGCCUUAGUAACAACAGCUUGCAGGAAGUGUCAGGGAGUGCCUCCCUCCCUCUCCCUCCCCAACCCCACCCCAUUUAUGACUUCAUGCUCCUGGUUGCACGACAGCAAGGGAUCUAGAAAGCACAUACCUUAAGUAUAAUGUGUGAGAUUCUUAUUUAAAAUUCCACAUUUUGGGCCAGGCACGGUGGCUCACACCCAGUACUUUGAGAGGCCGAGGCAGGUGGCUCACCUGAGGUCAGGAGUUUGAGGCCAGCCUGACCAAUAUGGUGAAACCCCAUCUCUACUAAAACAAUACAAAAAUUAGCCGGGCAUGGUGGUACAUGCCUGUACUCCCAGCUACUUGGGAGGCCGAGGCAGGGGAAUUGCUUGAACCAGGGAGGCAGAGAUUGCAGUGAGCUGAGAUCACGCCACUGCACUCCAACCUGGGCAACAGAGCGAGAGUCCAUCUCAAAAAAACUAAAUAAAUAAAAUAAAAUUACAAAUUUUAAGUGGGAGAAAUGAGGAGAUGUUGAUCAACAGGUACAAACUUUCAGUUAUAAGAUGAAUAUGUUCUGGAAAUCUAAUGUACAGUAUGAUGACUAUAGUUAAUAACAAUGCAUUGUAUGCUUGAAAUUUGCUAAGAGAGUAGAUCUUAAGUGUUCUCACUGCAAAAAAAAAAAUUAAAGGGUAACUGUGAGAUUAAUGCUAAUUAACUUGAUUAUGGUAAGAAUUCUAUACAUAUAUAUAUAUAUAAUCAUUACAGUAUACAUGUUAGACACAUACUAUUUUUAUUUGUCAGUUAUACCUCAAUAAAGCUAGAAAAAAAUUCCAAAUUUUCUACUGAUAGCAUUCAUGGAAUAAUGGAAGACAUUACAAUUCUCAUGACAAGACAAUGUCAACGUCCAGCAUUUUGAUGUACUUGUAUUGGCUGGGAUUCAAGUCUCAUCUGAAGCAAUGGUAAUAGCCUCUGUUGGAAUGUUCCAUCCCAGACCACGAAGCACUUUCCCACACUCUCUCCCUGAAUUCUCACCAAGACCCUGAAAAGUGCUACUAGCCUCAUCAUUAAAAAUAAAUAAACUUAUUAAAAAUAAAUAAACUGAGGUCACAGAAUUAAAGAGA